AUGAGAAUGAGCUAAUGAAGUUGGCAAUAUAUGAAUCGCGUUCUGUCAGUUUAGCAAGUGUUUGGCUGCUGGUGAUACUAAAGCAGAGUGCAAUUCCUCUGUAG
rnacentral:lncRNA from 1 species